rnacentral:tRNA from 1 species
GAUUAAAUGGCUGAUAAAAGUAAUAGAUUGUAAAUCUAUAUAUAAGGAAAUAAUUCCUUUUUAAUCA